rnacentral:rRNA from 1 species
GACGAACGCUGGCGGCGUGCUUAACACAUGCAAGUCGAACGGAAAGGCGCUGCUUUUGUGGGGUGCUCGAGUGGCGAACGGGUGAGUAACACGUGAGUAACCUGCCCUUGACUUUGGGAUAACUUCAGGAAACUGGGGCUAAUACCGGAUAGGAGCUCCUGCAGCAUGGUGGGGGUUGGAAAGUUUCGGCGGUUGGGGAUGGACUCGCGGCUUAUCUGCUUGUUGGUGGGGUAGUGGAUUACCAAGGCUUUGACGGGUAGCCGGCCUGAGAGGGGGACCGGCCACGUUGGGACUGGGAUACGGCCCAGACUCCUACGGGAGGCAGCAGUGGGGAAUAUAGCACAAGGGGCUGAAGCCUGAUGCAGCAACGCCGCGUGCGGGAUGACGGCCUUCGGUUUGUAAACCGCUUUCGCCUGUGACGAAGCGUGAGUGACGGUAAUGGGUAAAGAAGCACCGGCUAACUACGUG